rnacentral:rRNA from 1 species
GGAUUAGAUACCCUGGUAGUCCACGCCGUAAGCGAUGCGCACUAGAUGGAUGUUCACCAUGGAAUGUCUGUCGGAGAUAAUUUGUUAAGUGCGCCGCCUGGGGAGUAUGGUCGCAAGGCUGAAACUCAAAGGAAUUGACGGGGGCUCACACAAGCGGUGGAGGAUGUGGUUUAAUUCGAAGCAACGCGAAGAACCUUACCAGGUCUUGACAUACUAGGAUUAAUUCGGUGAAAGCCGUUGGAUUGCCCUUACGGGUGUAACUAGUACAGGUGCUGCAUGGCUGUCGUCAGCUCGUGCUG